AUCACAUUUCAAAUCAAGUGUGGUAUCUGUUCUCAUCAGUUUAAUAUCUGAUACGUCCCCCAUCGGGGGAUUACAUAUUAAAUUCUCUCGAGUGGCSCAUCGGUCUAAGGCACUGCACUGCAUCUCAGUGCAGACCCUGGUUCAAUUCCAGGCUGUAUCACAACCUGCUUUGAUUGUUAGUCCC